rnacentral:tRNA from 2 species
GGGUCCAUAGCUCAACCGGUAGAGCAGUAGCCUUUUAAGCUAUUGGUUGGGAGUUCGAGUCUCCCUGGACUCA